rnacentral:rRNA from 1 species
UGGGGAAUAUUGGACAAUGGGGGCAACCCUGAUCCAGCAAUGCCGCGUGUGUGAAGAAGGCCUUCGGGUUGUAAAGCACUUUUAUCGGGAACGAAACAUUGUCGGCCAAUACCCGGCAAGACUGACGGUACCCGAGGAAUAAGCACCGGCUAACUCCGUGCCAGCAGCCGCGGUAAUACGGAGGGUGCAAGCGUUAAUCGGAAUUGCUGGGCGUAAAGCGUGCGCAGGCGGUUUGUUAAGUCUGCUGUGAAAUCCCCGAGCUCAACUUGGGAAUUGCAGUGGAUACUGGCAAGCUGGAGUACGGUAGAGGAAGGUGGAAUUCCCGGUGUAGCAGUGAAAUGCGUAGAGAUCGGGAGGAACACCAGUGGCGAAGGCGGCCUUCUGGACCAGUACUGACGCUCAUGCACGAAAGCGUGGGGAGCAAACA